rnacentral:piRNA from 2 species
UGCUCCAAGCACCUGGGAUGCCAGGAUU